rnacentral:rRNA from 1 species
CAGUCGCCGCGGGAAUACGAAGGGGGCUAGCGUUAAUCGGAAUUACUGGGCGUAAAACGCGCGCAGGCGGUUCGUUAAGACAGAUGUGAAAUCCCCGGGCUUAACCUGGGAGCUGCAUUUGUGACUGGCAAGCUAGAGUAUGGCAGAGGGUGGUGGAAUUCCACGUGUAGCAGUGAAAUGCGUAGAGAUGUGGAGGAACACCGAUGGCGAAGGCAGCCCCCUGGGCCAAUACUGACGCUCAUGCACGAAAGCGUGGGGAGCAAACAGGAUUAGAUACCCGCGUAGUCCCUGUCUCUUAUAC